UACGGAAUGUGCAAACGUUAUUCGGAAUCACUGGGCUUAAAGAGUCCGUAGGCGGCUUGUUAGGUGAGGUGUGAAAUCCCCCGGCUCAACCGAGGAAUUGCGCUUCAAACCGGCAAGCUCGAGGAGGAUAGAGGUGGGCGGAACUGAUGGUGGAGCGGUGAAAUGCGUAGAUAUCAUCAGGAACACCGGAGGCGAAAGCGGUCCACUGGGUCGUUUCUGACGCUGAGGGACGAAAGCUAGGGGAGCGAACAGG
rnacentral:rRNA from 1 species